ACGUCUAGAAAGAAGCAACUUCUAAGCAGAGAAGUUUUCCAGUGAGCCCUUUUCUUCAAAGUGCGGGAAGGCAGUAGAAUUGGAAAGAGAAGCAAGUCAUUUUUCUCCAGAGCUACUGAAGCUUGCCAUUGAGUUCCUGCAAGGCAGAGUGAAGGUAAGUAAAAAAUGUAUUGAAUUGAUUUGCUUCAGGUGCCUGUUUUUUUAAAAAUGGCUAUCUUGAGUGUUUAUAAAUGUGUUUUGGAGUUAGUGUUAACUGGGCCCUUUUGUGAUCCUCAUCUUGUGGAUUUUUCUUGGG
rnacentral:lncRNA from 1 species